UAGCACAGAGAGCUUGCUCUCGGGUGACGAGCGGCGGACGGGUGAGUAAUGUCUGGGAAACUGCCUGAUGGAGGGGGAUAACUACUGGAAACGGUAGCUAAUACCGCAUAAUGUCGCAAGACCAAAGUGGGGGACCUUCGGGCCUCAUGCCAUCAGAUGUGCCCAGAUGGGAUUAGCUAGUAGGUGGGGUAACGGCUCACCUAGGCGACGAUCCCUAGCUGGUCUGAGAGGAUGACCAGCCACACUGGAACUGAGACACGGUCCAGACUCCUACGGGAGGCAGCAGUGGGGAAUAUUGCACAAUGGGCGCAAGCCUGAUGCAGCCAUGCCGCGUGUGUGAAGAAGGCCUUCGGGUUGUAAAGCACUUUCAGCGGGGAGGAAGGCGGUGAGGUUAAUAACCUUAUCGAUUGACGUUACCCGCAGAAGAAGCACCGGCUAACUCCGUGCCAGCAGCCGCGGUAAUACGGAGGGUGCAAGCGUUAAUCGGAAUUACUGGGCGUAAAGCGCACGCAGGCGGUCUGUCAAGUCGGAUGUGAAAUCCCCGGGCUCAACCUGGGAACUGCAUUCGAAACUGGCAGGCUAGAGUC
rnacentral:rRNA from 1 species